rnacentral:rRNA from 1 species
GUGCCGAUGGUCUUUCUGAUCGUCGGCUUUUCAAGAGUUUAAAUCGCUCUUGGAAUAAGAGCUGGGUAAGACUGGUGCCAGCCGCCGCGGUAACACCAGCAGCUCAAGUGGUGGUCGCGAUUAUUGGGCCUAAAGCGUCUGUAGCCGGGCCAGUAAGUCCCCUGUGAAAUCGGACGGCUCAACCGUUCGGCGUGCAGGGGAAACUACAGGUCUUGAGGCCGGGAGACGUCGAGGGUACUCCGGGGGUAGCGGUGAAAUGCUGUAAUCCCUGGGGGACCACCAGUGGCGUAGGCGCUCGACGAGAACGGACCUGACGGUGAGGGACGAAAGCUGGGGGAGCGAACCGGAUUAGAUACCCGGGUAGUCCCAGCUGUAAAGUAUGUGGGCCAGGUGUAGGGCGCUCCACGAGGGCGCCCGGUGCCGUAGGGAAGCCGUUAAGCCCACCGCCUGGGAAGUACGGCCGCAAGGCUGAAACUUAAAGGAAUUGG